rnacentral:rRNA from 1 species
GACGAACGCUGGCGGCGUGCUUAACACAUGCAAGUCGAACGAUGAAGCUGGAGCUUGCUCCGGCGGAUUAGUGGCGAACGGGUGAGUAACACGUGAGCAAUCUGCCCUUCACUCUGGGAUAACUGCGGGAAACUGUAGCUAAUACCGGAUACGAGGCUUGGAGGCAUCUCCAGGUCUGGAAAGAAUUUCGGUGAAGGAUGAGCUCGCGGCCUAUCAGCUUGUUGGUGAGGUAAUGGCUCACCAAGGCGACGACGGGUAGCCGGUCUGAGAGGGUGACCGGCCACACUGGGACUGAGACACGGCCCAGACUCCUACGGGAGGCAGCAGUGGGGAAUAUUGCACAAUGGGCGAAAGCCUGAUGCAGCAACGCCGCGUGAGGGAUGAAGGCCUUCGGGUUGUAAACCUCUUUUAGCAGGGAAGAAGCGAAAGUGACGGUACCUGCAGAAAAAGCACCGGCUAACUACGUGCCAGCCGCCGCAGUAA